GAUGAACGCUAGCUACAGGCUUAACACAUGCAAGUCGAGGGGCAGCAUGAACUUAGCUUGCUAAGUUUGAUGGCGACCGGCGCACGGGUGAGUAACACGUAUCCAACCUGCCGAUGACUCGGGGAUAGCCUUUCGAAAGAAAGAUUAAUACCCGAUGGCAUAGUUCUUCCGCAUGGUAGAACUAUUAAAGGAUUUCGGUCAUCGAUGGGGAUGCGUUCCAUUAGGUUGUUGGCGGGGUAACGGCCCACCAAGCCUUCGAUGGAUAGGGGUUCUGAGAGGAAGGUCCCCCACAUUGGAACUGAGACACGGUCCAAACUCCUACGGGAGGCAGCAGUGAGGAAUAUUGGUCAAUGGACGAGAGUCUGAACCAGCCAAGUAGCGUGAAGGAUGACUGCCCUAUGGGUUGUAAACUUCUUUUAUAAAGGAAUAAAGUCGGGAGAAUAAGCAUCGGCUAAUUCCGUGCCAGCAGCCGCGGU
rnacentral:rRNA from 1 species